GAAGAGAUCGUGAAUCCCAGUGUAGAGUGAAGAUCGUAGAUAGUGGGAAGAACUCCGUGCGAAUGUCGCGACCUUGAUGCCGAUACUGACGAUGAGGCGCGAAAGCAUGAGAGCAAACAGGAUUAGAUACCCUAGUAGUACGCGCCGUAAACGAUGUGCGCUUGAUGUUGGGUGACAUAGUCACUCAGUGUCGUAGCUAUCGCGAUAAGCGCACCGCGUGGGGAGUACGGCCGCAAGGUUGAAACUCAAAGGAAUUGACAGGGGCGGGCACAAGCGGUGGAUCAUAUGGAUUAAUUAAGAGCAACGCGCAGAACCUUACCAGGGCUUGACAUGGGCAAGACACGUCCAGAGAUGGGCGUUCCCGCAAGGGCUUACCGCACAGAUGCUGCAUGUCUGUCGUCAGCUCGUGUCGUGAGAUAUUAAGUUAAGUUCGACAACGAGCGCAACCAUCAGCUUCAAUAGUC
rnacentral:rRNA from 1 species